rnacentral:snRNA from 1 species
GGAUGUGAGGGCGAUCUGGCUGCGACAUCUGUCACCUCAUUGAUUGCCAGGGUUGAUUUGGCUGAUCUGGAUGGCUAGGCAGGUGUCCCCUUCCUCCCUCACUGCUCCAUGUGUGUCCCUCAUGAAGCUGCGCACUCGGUGUAAGAGGACGACCAUCCCAGAUAGGAGUGUACCAAUCUUCGGUCAAGGGUAUACGAUAGCUGCACUCCCCUGCUAGAACCUCCAAACAAGCUCAAAGUCUUCUGAAUUUUCAUUACAAGCCUUAAGAACAAAUGCAUAUAAAGCCAGAAUUGAGAAGACAGCAACAGAUAGCAAGUGCCACCUAU